GAAGAAAGCGGGCGGCGGGCCUAAUACAUGCAAGUUGAGCGCUGAAGGUUGGUACUUGUACCGACUGGAUGAGCAGCGAACGGGUGAGUAACGCGUGGGGAAUCUGCCUUUGAGCGGGGGACAACAUUUGGAAACGAAUGCUAAUACCGCAUAAAAACUUUAAACACAAGUUUUAAGUUUGAAAGAUGCAAUUGCAUCACUCAAAGAUGAUCCCGCGUUGUAUUAGCUAGUUGGUGAGGUAAAGGCUCACCAAGGCGAUGAUACAUAGCCGACCUGAGAGGGUGAUCGGCCACAUUGGGACUGAGACACGGCCCAAACUCCUACGGGAGGCAGCAGUAGGGAAUCUUCGGCAAUGGACGAAAGUCUGACCGAGCAACGCCGCGUGAGUGAAGAAGGUUUUCGGAUCGUAAAACUCUGUUGGUAGAGAAGAACGUUGGUGAGAGUGGAAAGCUCAUCAAGUGACGGUAACUACCCAGAAAGGGACGGCUAACUACGUG
rnacentral:rRNA from 1 species